UGAUUCAACAACCACAGAGGCAGAAACCACAACACCAUGGUGGUGGUGGACAACAGAUUCAACAACAACAGAGGCAACAACCGCAACUCCAUGAUGGUGG